rnacentral:lncRNA from 1 species
UUUCCUUUCACCUGGAGCAAGAGAAGGAGAAAGGAAAACCCCUUCUUUCAUGAAAUUAAGAAAUUGGAAAGGAAAUCUUGGUCAAACUCAAUGCAUGAACACAUAAUACCAAUUAUCUAAGCUAGCCUAACAAGUGGUAAGUUACAAUUUUCAAUUUGGUUGAUCUUGAGAUGAUGAGUAUGUAUGAAAUUGAAAAAUUUCUUAAGUAUGUUAGUAACAUAUUGUUAAUUGUUGGAGAAUACAUGAUUAGAAACCAUUGUGAGUGCCAAUUUGAGUGAAAAGAUAUACUUAUAUGUUUUGAUAGGAAACCUUCAUAAAUCAUGAAGUGAGUUUUAAGAAUGGAUAAUAAAAUAGAUGAUUUUAGUUAGGACUAUGAUGUUAACUUGUCAAUUAGAUGAAUGUUGUGUUAAUGAUUAUUCGUUGUGAUUAAUUGAUUAAUUGGGAAUUUAUGCAAGAAUAGGAAAUAAUGUUGGUAUGUAAGAACAUGAAAAACAACAAUUUUUAAACAACAAUGAUUGUCGCACACCAAGUGUUCGACGAAAUGCAUUAGAUGAUAAUUGUGUGAAUAGGUGAUAUCUACUAGUGAAAUUCAUGAUAGAAUGCAAGUAUGCGCUGUAUAUGGUGAGACGGAUUCAUGAGAACUUAAAGAAAAAUGAAGUGUAAAUGUAGGUGUGAAGAAAGAAGGUUCAAGCAACAAGAAGCCUUAAGGUUUGCAAGAUUGAGUUAUAACACGAGGAAAUAGAAAUGUGGGUACUAGUUUUUGUCAAGUAGUUGAUCCGAUACAAACGGGUCAACAAACUAGAAUGAAAUAUUUAAUAUGGUCAACUAGUUGAUCUAGUAUGAGCGGGUCAACGAACUAGAAUGAAAUGUUUAAUAUGGUCAUACAGUUGAUCCGGUACGAACGGGUCAACGAACUAGAAUGAAAUAUUUAAUAUGGUCAAGGAGUUGAUCUGGUACGAACGGGUCAAUGAAUUAGAAUGAAAUGUUUAAUAUGGUCACACAGUUGAUCUAGUACGAAUGGGUCAACGAAUUAGAAUGAAAUGUUUAAUAUGGUCAAGUAGUUGAUCUGGUACGAAUGAGUCAACGAACUAGAAUGAAAUGUUUAAUAUGGUCAUAAAGUUGAUCCGGUACGAACGGGUCAACGAACUAGAUUGAAAUGUUUAAUAUGGUCAAGUAGUUGAUCCGGUACGAAUGAGUCAACAAACUAGAAUGAAAUGUUUAAUAUGGUCAUAAAGUUGAUCCGGUACGAACGGGUCAACGAACUAGAAUGAAAUGUUUAAUAUGGUCAUAAGUUGAUCUUGUACGGAUGGGUCAACGAACUAGAAUGAAAUGUUUAAUAUGGUCAUACAGUUGAUCCGGUUCGAACAGGUCAACGAAUUAGAAUGAAAUGGUUAUAGUGGUCAUAUAGUUGAUCCAGUAUGAACGGGUCAACAGACUAGAAUAAAACAUGUAAAGAAUGGUUAAGUAUUUUAUCCGUUGCAAAUGGUUAAACGUUUACAGAUUGACUAUUAUAUGAAUGAUUAUAAGGUUGAAACAAAGUGAACGAGCAAGUUAAGCUAAUGUAAUUGAAGGGGAUAUGAAAAUGUAGAUAAUAUGAGAACAAGAAAAGUUGUGGAAUCAUAUUUGAUGGAAGUUUGAAUUCUAUGAUAGAUGUUUUAUAUCAGUUUAGUGACGAAUUGUUGUUAUAAGUAAAUCUUUGCUUUAGGUAGGAUUGUUAGCUCGUACGAACACACAUUCCACUUUGCCCUCAACGCGCUUCCGAAGUUAGCUUACGCAAACGGGUCAAAACAAUUUGGUUAUUAUGUAAUUAAAGUUUAGUUACUAAACUAUAUCAAGACUUGGUGUUUUAUAAUUUUAUAAAGUGAUGGAAGGUUUGUAACAAGUGGUUAAAUGAAUGUCUUGUAACUUUUGUUUAAAUUUUCAAGUAAUGCACAAAGUUUAAUAUUGGUCG